UACGAAGGGGGCUAGCGUUGCUCGGAAUCACUGGGCGUAAAGCGCACGUAGGCGGCUUUCUAAGUCAGGGGUGAAAUCCUGGAGCUCAACUCCAGAACUGCCUCUGAUACUGGGGAUCUUGAGUCCGGAAGAGGUAAGUGGAACUGCGAGUGUAGAGGUGAAAUUCGUAGAUAUUCGCAAGAACACCAGUGGCGAAGGCGGCUUACUGGUCCGGUACUGACGCUGAGGUGCGAAAGCGUGGGGAGCAAACAGG
rnacentral:rRNA from 1 species